AUAGGUGUGCAUUGGAAUAAAAAAGAAAGGAAUAAAUUAAUUCAAUAUCAACCAUUUCAAUAAAACUACGAGAUCAAAAUAAUAUAUAAACAAAGAAUUUAAUUCCAAUAGAUCGAAUAUAAAUUAACAAAAGAAUCAGGUUAAUACCCGAACAAUGACAAACCACCAAACAACCAUACAAAUAAAUACUGAAAAAGCAAAUCUCUGUUCAAACUCUCAACACAUGGAUUCUUCUCUCAAAUACCAGAAACAAACUCAUUGUCUCAACAGAGCGAAUAGAGAGACAAUUAGAGAUGUUGCAAUAAAGGAACCGGAAGCCGGUAAAGAGAACGCAGCUCCGGCGUCCGGUGACGGAGCUGGUGCCAUCCCUAUCCCCUGUGCGGAGGAAGUAACCGCGGCAAGGAGGAUGGUGAGAACCAAGACUUGGAUGGUAACGCUAAUCUGAGCCAUCUCUGAGAACUGUGAUCGGAAAAAUGAAGUUUGGUGAAACUGAGAAAUUGUGGUAUGCUACAAUACGUGCUGUGGUGAAGAAGACGGUCAAUAUGCGUGGUAUUUAUAUAGAAUAGGAGUGGAGGGAGGGAUUUGUGGGGCCUGCAUGUGAAGAGAUGAAUUAAAAU
rnacentral:lncRNA from 1 species